rnacentral:rRNA from 1 species
AUGAACGCUGGCGGCGUGCCUAAUACAUGCAAGUCGAGCGAACAGACGAGGAGCUUGCUCCUCUGACGUUAGCGGCGGACGGGUGAGUAACACGUGGAUAACCUACCUAUAAGACUGGGAUAACUUCGGGAAACCGGAGCUAAUACCGGAUAAUAUAUUGAACCGCAUGGUUCAAUAGUGAAAGACGGUUUUGCUGUCACUUAUAGAUGGAUCCGCGCCGCAUUAGCUAGUUGGUAAGGUAACGGCUUACCAAGGCAACGAUGCGUACCCGACCUGAGAGGGUGAUCGGCCACACUGGAACUGAGACACGGUCCAGACUCCUACGGGAGGCAGCAGUAGGGAAUCUUCCGCAAUGGGCGAAAGCCUGACGGAGCAACGCCGCGUGAGUGAUGAAGGUCUUCGGAUCGUAAAACUCUGUUAUUAGGGAAGAACAAAUGUGUAAGUAACUAUGCACGUCUUGACGGUACCUAAUCAGAAAGCCACGGCUAACUACGUG